AUGGGUCGGAUCCACCCAAUCACCUCCUUUUUCCGUGUGUGAGGGAUUCAUUUCCCCCUCAUAAUUACUACACCAAAGCUCGUUUUAGGUCGCAUCUUCCUCCCUGGUCAAGCCAUUUCUCUAAGCUGCCUUGCCGUCCACAUGCUACAUGCAUGUGAAGCAAUAAAUUAAAGCGAGCCCGACAGGGGAGCAGAGUGAACCACUUUGUAUUCUUCCACAGGUCACACCCACGGAGGGCACCGGAGGGAAAGGAGGGGUGAAAGAAGCUUGCCGAGUGCAGUCUUCUCUCCCAAUCGAUGCCGAGUGCUGGCAGGGAUUACUUGCUAUCUCAGGGGAAGAAACGAAUCCACGUUCUCUCCUCGGACGCAAAGGGAAGACGAAGUGAUAUUAAAGGCGCUUUUGCUUUGACCUCAGCUCUGCUCCGCGGCCGUCUCCAGCAAGCAAUGGACAAAAGCAAGCAGCAUCAUUGAGGGUGAACGUGCAGCAGCAGCCCACAUCAAAAUGGUCGAAAACUUCACAUCCAUGGAUUGCCUCCAUGAAUCUAUGUGACACUGGAGAUUGAGCUGCAAAAACCCACCAGAAUCUAUCAAUUGCUCCAAGCAAACUACAGAGUUCCACAGUGCUGCUUCGAUGUACACAAAAGUGGGACAGGACAACAGCUCACGAGACAACAGGAUGAGCCGAGAGUUAAAGGCCUUUAUUAUGUGCCGGGAAGAUGGCUCUCCGUGUAUCUGUCAUAGAUAAUGGCACAUCCAAAGGGGACCUCUUUGCUCAUCUACUCAUCCGACCACUAUUUGUUUUCUCUCAAACGUCAGGAAUCUGUGCUGGGAUUUGAUCUGCUCCUGUAAUAGUUUUAGAUUGUCACUCAGCCUGAUCAUAAUUGAAUCUCUUCAGUGAUCA